rnacentral:rRNA from 1 species
CCUACGGGUGGCAGCAGUGGGGAAUAUUGCGCAAUGGGCGAAAGCCUGACGCAGCGACGCCGCGUGAGGGAUGAAGGUCUUCGGAUCGUAAACCUCUGUCAGCAGGGAAGUACGGUCACUGUGCUAAUCAGCAGUGAAUUGACGGUACCUGCAAAGGAAGCACCGGCUAACUCCGUGCCAGCAGCCGCGGUAAUACGGAGGGUGCGAGCGUUAAUCGGAAUUACUGGGCGUAAAGCGAUCGUAGGCGGUAUGUCAAGUCAAGGGUGAAAUCCCCGCGCUCAACGUGGGAACUGCCUUUGAAACUGGCAGACUGGAGUGUGUGAGAGGAUAGUGGAAUUCCAGGUGUAGGAGUGAAAUCCGUAGAUAUCUGGAGGAACAUCGGUGGCGAAGGCGACUAUCUGGCACAUAACUGACGCUGAGGAGCGAAAGCGUGGGUAGCAAACAGGAUUAGAUACCCUAGUAGUC